UACAGAGGGUGCGAGCGUUGUCCGGAAUCACUGGGCGUAAAGGGCGCGUAGGCGGCUUGAUAAGUAGGGGGUGAAAUCUUGCGGCUCAACUGCAAGGCUGCCUCCUAAACUGACAGGCUUGAGCACAGUAGAGGCAGGUGGAAUUCCCGGUGUAGCGGUGGAAUGCGUAGAGAUCGGGAAGAACAUCGGUGGCGAAGGCGGCCUGCUGGGCUGUUGCUGACGCUGAGGCGCGACAGCAUGGGGAGCAAACAGG
rnacentral:rRNA from 1 species